rnacentral:rRNA from 1 species
CAGUCGCCGCGGUAAUACGAAGGGGGCUAGCGUUGUUCGGAUUAACUGGGCGUAAAGGGCGCGUAGGCGGGUCUUUAAGUCAGGGGUGAAAUCCCAAGGCUCAACCUUGGAACUGCCUUCGAUACUGGAGAUCUUGAGUCCGGGAGAGGUGAGUGGAACUGCGAGUGUAGAGGUGAAAUUCGUAGAUAUUCGCAAGAACACCAGUGGCGAAGGCGGCUCACUGGCCCGGUACUGACGCUGAGGCGCGAAAGCGUGGGGAGCAAACAGGAUUAGAGACCCCAGUAGUCCCUGUCUCUUAUAC